UUGUCAUGCUGGUUUUCCUGAAAUGAACUCAGCUGUUCUCAUAGUCAGAGGAGUCUGAGUCUUCACUGUCACUGCAAAUGGCUGCAAUUCUGUUUGAGGGAGCUCUGGACCUUACCUCGAGCAUCACCUCCUGGAUUCAGUGCAGAAGCCUCAGCCUGCUGACACAGACACUUUAUCCCACUGGGAAGAAAGACUCCCAGGUUCCAUAGCUGGGUCUGUGAAGUAAGCUGACAACAGUGAGAUCAGCAGCAGAACAGGCCUAAAGCAAUGGAGCCAGCCAACCAUGGACUGAUACCACAGGAACCAUGAAAGCUACUGUAACUCUCACCUCUUCAGUGAUCUGCACGGCCAGAGCUUGCUCACAGAAGUUAAGAAGGGAAGCAGUCCAAAAACAUCAGUUUGCAUUUGUUUGCAUCUAUUUGCAUUUGUUCAAUCCUUGGAGCUCCUUUGUUUGUUUUCUUGUACCUGGUAGGUAUUCCUCAGAAAAUAUUCAAAAUUACUAUCCAGAAAAAAACUUAGCUCACAAAAGAGCCAAUGAAAUGGUCAAAGAGGCUGAGAAAUACAAAUUUUCCCAUGUGCCCAGGAAGAGGAAAUGGGAUGGAUGGGCAGGCACUGAGUCAGUUUCUGUUAAAACUGCCAAGUCAUUUUCCCUCACAUCCAAACAUUUUCUAGAUUAUUCUGUUCAAGCAUUAAUUUUAAAAAUUAACAUUAGUAAUAAUAGCUACUGUUUAUUGAGUACUUACUACGUGUCAGGCUCUGUGGUAACCACCCAGCAUGCAUUCAUUUAUCAAACUCUUACAUUAAUUGAUCAAAUCUUAUAACAUAGGCACUGCUUUUAUCUCCAUUUCACACCCUGAGGCAAAGGGAGAUAAGGAAAAUGAAGCAGAGGGAGAUAAAAUGAGCUGCCCAAGCUGCACGGCUAGAACCUGAUGUGAGCAAUUCUAAACUGUGGCAGCUUCUACUUCUUCAUAGCACUCUCCUGGGAAGUUACUCGUUUUCCUUCUUCCUGCCUUUCUUGCUCCAGCCUGAAGACCAGGGUUGUCUCAUCUUGCCCUUCACGCCUGCUACUCAUCAUUAUGGGUCAGCAUCAUUCCUCCACCAGCCCUUGACCCUCACAGCCAGCUAUUAUCCACAGACCUCCUGGUGGUGACCAUCCCCUCACUGAAGUGCACAGCCUCUGGCUUAUGGUCUUCUUCCCCUGCCACUUUUUACCAUUGUCUGGGCAAUCUCAGAAUUCAUGUGCAUGACAUGUGUGACUCCACAGCUUGAGUAUCACUUUGCUGUCCACUAAAGGUCCCUGUUUAACAAAAUCUUCUGGAUCUAGUUGUCAACAGGGGUAGAUUGACCUGCACAAUCUAUCUCUCCCAUCAACACCACCAUAUACACUAGAGAGCACUUCUCCAUCUUUCUAGAUGGCUGCUCAGUCCUGGCCUCAUUUCUUUUCCUAUGUAUCCUAUAAAUCUAUGAGCAGCUAUCUCAUGAAGGCACCAGAGGAGUCAGGUUGGAUGGUGUCCCAGGAAAUGGGAGUCAGAGGCAGGGAGUCAGAGACUCAGCCGGACAUAACCUGGCUGAGCAGCAGUUCUACUAUCAACAGAGAAGAGAGCUUGGGGAUUAUUGGAUUCUCCUUUCUCUAUCUAGGCAAAUUGUUAUGAGGCCAAGAGUGAAAAUCUUUGCCCUGGACCUAGUCCAGGCAGUCAAAUUUUUAUCUGAAUCUGACUGCAGAAUACCUUAUUAACCUAAGGUUCUCCCUAAAGGGAAGAUUCUCAUGCUUCACCUCAAACCUCUUGAGUCAGUCUUUGGGGGUCAGAUCUAGGAAUCUGGAUUUUAAAUAAAAUUCAAUGUGUUCCUAAUGUAAGUAAUGAUUCAAAUAUAUAAAAGUAUGUGGUAAUCAUGAUUCCCCAUUAUGUGGCCUUGAAACCUUAUAAAGUUUUCACUUAUUAAUUGGAAUGGCUUUAUUCUGGGCUUCUUGAUAUGGAAAUAUUUGAAGCUAUAGUAUAUGAAGUUAUAUUCAAAUAUUUCAAGGAAAAAGACAGACACUCUGGAACUACUAUUAAGUCGGGUAACUAGGUUGCUGAAACCUGUAUUGUUAUGUUGUUUUGCUUUGACCUGUAUUGUUUUGUUGUCAUGUCCUCUUUUAUCUCAACCUCUCCCUUAUUCAUUAAAAAAUUAUUUAGUUAUUUUUUAUGGUUUUUUUAAUUAAGGGGAAAAAUUUUAAAAAUUAGCAGAAUAUAUUAUAGUAACUUUUUGAUUUCCUAUUAACUUGACUUGAAGUCCUGUAAUACUCCUACUAUCUUGUUUUGACUGAUUAGUCUCUGUUCCAUUCUGUAUGAUAGUAUCAAGUUUGAGGGUAUAGGCAACUACUUUGAAGACAAUAAGAUUCACUAAGAUGCCCAUUCUUGUUUGACUAUUAUCUCCUUUGGAAGUCCUUUAAUGUUUACAAUGUUUAAGUUUUAUUGGUCUUGUUCUCUACUGUUUUGUUCAACUUUAUAAUAUGUAAUGAGAUAGACAAUUCUUCUUAAGGAUACAAGAGGCAUUAUGGUAACCAUUGUUGAUAACCCUGUACUCUGUUUUUACAUCAUGUACUAUGUCUAUCCUUGGUUUUGACUGACAGCUUUGUUUUGCCAUAUUUGACUAUAUUCUCUUCCAAAAGAAAGUAAUAAGAACUAAGGAGUAAUAAAACCCAAAAUGUGUAAAUUUUGUUGUAAAAAAAAGAGGGAAAAAAAGUGCUCUAAAGGAUACAACUGCAAGUGUGUUUAGGGGUGUUAAAUAGCUGACCAUAUUAAUGUUUUUGGUUGGAUCAUUAAACACAACUGUUUGCAGUCUCUCUGUUUGAAUGUUCAUUUUGUAUGCUUUGAUACUGUGACUUGAGCAACUAUCUCUAAGUUGAUAAUGUGUAAUCUAUUAACUGGUGAUUUCUUACUUUUUUUUUUUUUUUUUUUUGUAGUUCUGUAUUACUUGUACCCUUAUACCGCUUUGUUUUGAUUUGUUUUUUCUUUUUCCUUUUAAAUAAAAUUUAAAAAAAUUCAAUGUGUUUUUCAAAAUCUUCAGUAUUCAAGGAUCACUAACUUACCAGGGGAGAAACAUUCACCCUGGAAGGUGUUAAAAAUCUGUAUCACCUCCUAAUCCCACCCUGUGAUUCACCCCUCUUGGCUGGAUCCAGGCUUACCGAUCAGUUGUGAUUUUUCUUUGAAGCACCCUAAAGCUAAUUCCACUUUGCUCCCAGAA